AUGACAGUGCUGCCAUAAAGGAAAGGUGCUUCAAGCUGACCCCAAGCUUGCAAAAGGCUCCGAGUUCUACGAGAGUGUGCUGGACUUCGCCCUCAUCGCAGCAUUGUGCGGGUGGAACCAGAGACACUUGGGAAGUUGAAGAUUGUGCAUAACUACGGACAUGGAGGUUAUGGUGUAACAGCAGCACCAGGAACAGUGAAGCAUGCCAUUAAGCUCAUGCAAGAACUCCAUCUGUCUGCCCAUAAACAUAGCAAGUUAUAACCCCUCUCUUGAUAGUUUCUAUUCCUGUCAUUAUCCUGUUGUAUUCUUAGUUCAGUUUCACGCUUAAACCCAACACACAAAUAUAGCAACAAACCUUCUCAGACCAUGAUAAUGAAGUAUAAUAUAAAUAGGGAAUGAACUGAUAA